CUCAUGUUUGGGGGAUUGGAGAACUGCCUACACUCUGGGGAUUGCUAUAAUCACUAUACUCCCCAGAGUAAGCUCUUGUAAGAGCUUGUUCUUGUUCCUGUUCCUGCUCUCUGAAAUUUGGAGAGGUCGACCUACUGGAAGCUGGACCCUGGUCUUGGGUCCAGAGUGGGUGGAGACGGCGAGACCCCAACCAAGCUGCGGC